rnacentral:rRNA from 1 species
GACAGAGGGUGCAAACGUUGUUCGGAAUUACUGGGCGUAAAGCGAGUGUAGGCGGUUUGGUAAGUCGGAUGUGAAAGCCCCGGGCUCAACCUGGGAAUUGCAUUCGAGACUGAAUAGCUAGGGUACGGUAGAGGGAAGCGGAAUUUCCGGUGUAGCGGUGAAAUGCGUAGAUAUCGGAAGGAACAUCAGUGGCGAAAGCGGCUUCCUGGACCAGUACCGACGUUCAGGCACGAAAGCGUGGGGAGCAAACAGG